rnacentral:lncRNA from 1 species
GUAGGAUUGGCGCGCAGGGGCAGUUAAAAUGUUUUUUUGGGUACAAAAAGAACGGCGUGCUCUGUGGCAGCCAUGAAAUAUCGCAUAAAGUGGUCCUUUCCCAUUUCUCCUCCAUUUUCGCACCAUUUUAACCUCCCCUCAAAAAUACCCAUCAUUACCUUUUCAUAUUCGCAAAUUUUCUACCUUUUUCUUUCAGAUGGGUGAGAUCGUGUUUUACAAAAUUGGAUUUUGUGUUGUACAAAAUUGGAUUUUGUGGGCAAAGUGAAAAUGGGAUCAAUUGAAUAAUUCAAUAGGUGUGAGAUUUGGAUCAGAUGCAACAAGGAAAGAUGUACUUUGCCAGCCUUGAUGAUUCGCCCAUGUUUCGGCAACAGGUGAUAUUUUGUAUUAAUCAUUGAAUAUUGUAAUUAAUAUGAAAAUGUUGGGUAUAUUUUUAGUAGUUCAGCUUAUGAUCUUUUGUAGGACAAUAAUCUUUUUACUUGGGCAGGAACGUUGUGUGAAAAAAGGGGAAAAAGAUAAGCCUAUCAAGAUUUAGCCAAAGUAGUACUGACUAAGAAAAUGUCAAAAAAUUGUUGAUAAUGGGCCAUAAAGUUUGAUGUUAUACUGGUAAGGAGUGGUAUGGAACAUGUUAUGGGUGAUCGAAAGGGUGAAGAAGCUUUGGCCAGUAUGUUAUAUGUAUACUGUGAGUGGAUAGAAUGGAUUACAGGAACAAGUGGGAAUCAUUCAAUCAUUUUUUAUUUUUUUUUCUUAAGAAAUUUAGUUUACCACAUUGGAAAUAUCAAAUAUACUUUUGCUGUGAUUAGAAAAUAUAUUAUCUUGUUAAAAUUCCAUCGUUACUUUGAUUUCAUUCUGCCUUUAGCAAUAGUAAGCUUCGAGAAAAUUGCACGGAAAUCCCUAUCUCAAUAAUUAUUAACAUAAUUGCAAAAAAAGAUAAAGAGUUCCCUUGUAUCCCAUGGCCGAGUGUGUGAGUGCAAUCCAGUGGAAAGUAUAGCCUAAGAAAGAAGUUAAAGUGCCUAAAAAUUUAAAGUAACUUAAGCAAUUUUUGUUUCUAAAAUGUGGUCUUGAAAAUUUUAAACUCUUAGUUCAAAAACUUACGUUUGGAAUGCAAGUCCUUACUUUAUAACAAAAAGUACUUUUACUUUUUUCUUAGGUCAGCCAAACCCUGCUCUAUGUUGCUGUUUCCGUGUGAACAAUGUGACAUAGAUACAUGUGGCUUGAUAAUCUUUUGAUGUGUAUGUGAUGAAAAUGCAAUAUUAUGAUUUCUUAAUGUACUCAAUUGCAUUUUAUGAACUACAUUGUCAACGGAGAGAUUAAUUAAAUAAAUUUAUACAUAAUAUGUAUUGUUGUCUACUUUUUUUCCUGGUUAUGUCUCAUUGAUGCGAACCCACGGAUUAUAUCACUUCUUUUGAAUUUGACAUCUCAAAAGCAAUUAAAAUUUGUUCUUAAGUAUUGGACAUAUCUUAUUUGGCCAAGCAGCUCCAGUGUUUGGAAGAAAGUGCUGAGACAUUAAGAGAUCGAAGUGUGAAGUUCCAUAAAGGAUGUCGGAAGUACACGUAAG